CGGCAGAGGCAGCCCCUCGCCAGGCGAACCACUUCAUCGUCUCUCGGGUCCGUCUCUCAACUAUGCCGCUCUACGAGGGCCUCGGGAGCGUUGGCGAGAAGACAGCGGUCGUGAUCGACCUAGGAGAAGCCUUCACCAAGUGUGGAUUCGCAGGAGAAACUGGUCCACGAUGUAUAAUUCCUAGUGUGAUAAAAAGAGCUGGUCUAUCUAAGCCAAUCAAAGUUGUUCAGUAUAAUAUCAAUACAGAAGAAUUAUAUUCCUACCUAAAGGAAUUCAUCCACAUACUGUAUUUCAGGCAUCUGUUGGUGAAUCCCAGAGACCGACGGGUUGUGGUUAUUGAGUCGGUGUUAUGUCCUUCCCACUUCAGAGAGACACUUACUCGUGUUCUUUUCAAGUAUUUCGAGGUCCCAUCUGUCUUACUUGCUCCAAGUCACCUGAUGGCGCUGCUGACACUCGGGAUUAAUUCUGCCAUGGUCCUGGAUUGUGGAUAUAGGGAAAGCCUGGUGUUGCCUAUAUAUGAAGGCAUCCCAGUACUGAAUUGCUGGGGAGCCCUACCCUUAGGAGGAAAAGCUCUUCACAAGGAGUUGGAAACUCAACUGUUGGAACAAUGUACUGUUGACACUGGUGCUGCUAAAGGACAGAGCCUUCCCUCAGUGAUGGGUUCAGUGCCAGAAGGUGUCCUAGAAGAUAUUAAAGUGUGUACGUGCUUUGUAAGUGAUCUGAAGCGUGGACUGCAAAUCCAAGCAGCAAAAUUUAAUAUUGAUGGG